CCAUAAGCAAUUUACUUUAUACAAGUGACCUAAAUCUAUUAAUUGAUGGGAAAAAUCUUCUGACUUCUUUGAGCAGGUAGUAUGUGAUGAAUCCACAGAAACAAGGAGCUGUAAGCAUAAGAGAGCCAUAGCUGAUGAAGCUUAUGGUCUCGUUCAAGCAAAGGCUCCUGCAGUUGAACAAACAGAAAAGGUCCAAGCGAGUCUUUCUUCGAGAUUCUCUAGUUUCACAAAGACCUUGGUUAGAUCAAAUGUAAAUUCUGUAUUUUGGAUGGUGAGCCUGCAAUUUCUAUUUCUAUUUAUAUUUGAAGAAGGCAAAUAAUGCCUCCCUUUUUAACCAA